rnacentral:misc_RNA from 1 species
UGUGGGAGCGAGCUUGCUCGCGAUGGCGGUGGGUCAGUUUGCAUAAGGAUUGACUGAUGCACCGCUAUCGCGAGCAAGCUUGCUCCCACA